rnacentral:tmRNA from 1 species
GGGGCCGACCUGGAUUCGACGCCGGUACUGAAUUCUGUGGUGCAUGCCGAGAAGGUCACGAGUCUCGUAAAACAUUUGUGGCACACUAAAGUAAUCGCAAACGACGAUUCUUACGCACUAGCAGCUUAAACCCUGCUUAUCGCCAAUCGACCCUGCCUGUGGGGAAGAGCGGCGAGCAUCGCAACACAGGCUCGCAGCA